AUACGUAGGGAGCGAGCGUUGUCCGGAAUUACUGGGUGUAAAGGGAGCGUAGGCGGGCGUGCAAGUCCGAUGUGAAAUACAUGGGCUCAACCCAUGGGCUGCAUUUGAAACUGCAUUUCUUGAGUGAAGUAGAGGUAAGCGGAAUUCCUGGUGUAGCGGUGAAAUGCGUAGAUAUCAGGAGGAACACCGGUGGCGAAGGCGGCUUACUGGGCUUUUACUGACGCUGAGGCUCGAAAGCGUGGGGAGCAAACAGGAUUAGAUACCCUGGUAGUCCACGCUGUAAACGAUGAUUACUAGGUGUGGGGGGACUGACCCCUCCCGUGCCGCAGUUAACACAAUAAGUAAUCCACCUGGGGAGUACGGCCGCAAGGUUGAAACUCAAAUGAAUUGGCGGGG
rnacentral:rRNA from 1 species